rnacentral:rRNA from 1 species
GCUGGCGGCACGCCUAAUACAUGCAAGUCGAACGAAGUAGUAAUACUUAGUGGCAGACGGGUGAGUAACAUGUAGGUAUCUGCCCUUUGGCCUGGAAUAACACGAGGAAACUUGUGCUAAUACCGGAUAAGUCUUUACGGAGAAAGCUUUAUGCACCAUUGGAUGAGCCUGCACUUGAUUAGUUUGUUGGUAGGGUAAUGGCCUACCAAGACUGUGAUCAAUAGCUGAUUUGAGAGGAUGAUCAGCCACAUUGGGACUGAGACACGGCCCAAACUCCUACGGGAGGCAGCAGUAGGGAAUCUUGCACAAUGGAGGAAACUCUGAUGCAGCGAUGCCGCGUGAGUGAAGAAGGCCUUUGGGUUGUAAAGCUCUUUCGUCGGGGAAGAAAAUGACUGUACCCGAAUAAGAAGGUCCGGCUAACUUCGUGCCAGCAGCCGCGGUAAUACGAAGGGACCUAGCGUAGUUCGGAAUUACUGGGCUUAAAGAGUUCGUAGGUGGUUGAAAAAGUUGGUGGUGAAAUCCCAGAGCUUAACUCUGGAACUGCCAUCAAAACUUUUCAGCUAGAGUUUGAUAGAGGAAAGCAGAAUUUCUAGUGUAGAGGUGAAAUUCGUAGAUAUUAGAAAGAAUACCAAUUGCGAAGGCAGCUUUCUGGAUCAAUACUGACACUGAGGAACGAAAGCAUGGGUAGCGAAGAGGAUUAGAUACCCUCGUAGUCCAUGCCGUAAACGAUGUGUGUUAGACGUUGGAAAUUUAUUUUCAGUGUCGCAGCGAAAGCGAUAAACACACCGCCUGGGGAGUACGACCGC